rnacentral:lncRNA from 1 species
CAGCCAGAGCAUCAGAGUCCCAGGUACACACCGGCAGACCCGGCCUGCAGGCUGCUCUGUCGCCAAUGAACUCCAUGAACCCCAUGAAACCUGCCCUGCCCCCCGUGCCACACAGUGAUGGUUCAUUCGCAUACGAGUCUGUGCCUUGGCAACAGAGUGCCGCUCAGCCUGCUGGGUCCCUGUCUGUGGUCACUACCGUGUGGGGAGUCGGCAACGCGACACAGAGCCAGGUUCUGGGGAACCCCAUGGGCCCUGCAGGAAGCCCCCCUGGCGGCUCCAUGAUGCCUGGCGUGGCGGGUGGCAGCUCUGCCUUGACCUCCCCACAGUGCCUGGGACAGCAGGCCUUUGCCGAAGGUGGUGCUAGCAAGGGCUACGUGCAGCAAGGCGUGUAUGGGCGAGGGGGCUACCCUGGGGGCCCCAGCUUCACCACUGGGUAUGCGGGUGGCCCAGGGGGCCUGGGACUCCCGUCACAUGCCGCACGACCCUCCGCUGACUUCACACAAGCAGCAGCCGCAGCCGCCACGGAAAAGCAGCCACGGCCACGGCCACGGCCACUGCCACCGUGGCCGCCCUGCAGGAAAAGCAGAGCCAGGAGCUGAGCCAGUAUGGAGCGAUGGGGACCGGACAGUCAUUUAACAGCCAGUUUCUACAGCACGGAGGGCCCCGGGGGCCCAGUGUCCCCCCUGGCAUGAACCCUACCGGGAUGGCAGGAUUGAUAGGCCCCUCUGCCCUCUCCCCCAUGGCCAUGAACCCCACCCGGGCAGCGGGCCUGACGCCCCUGUAUGCAGGGCAACGUUUGCCCCAGCACGGCUACCCUGGGCCCGCCCAGGCCC